GGAAGGAGAACUUAGGAACGAACCUGAAGCAAGAUGGCAUUAAGGCUGGCGGGGUGACACCGCAGUCCCUGCCCUCACCCCAUGCAGCACCGGCUCACACAGGACAUCUCAACGCAAGGAGCAGAUGCUGGUGUGCGUGGCUUUGGGGCUGUUAACCCGGCAGCCCGCUGGGGAGCUCCCAUGGCUGCUCCACCCGCAGCAUCACGGGCUGCAUACUCUGGGACAUCCCCUCCAGGGGCCCCUAAAUGUCAGGCCAGAAAGGCAGAUGUCAUACGUGAAGAUCUGUGGUUUUCAAAUCAUCGGUUUUGCAUGUUGGAGUUGGAUUCUCUUUAUGGUGCUUUUAGAGCAUUUUAGUUUUCCUCACUAGGGUCGUUCUUUGGGUGUAAAGCAAACCAUGAGGCAACCCCACUGUGCCCCACGAGGACGAGAGCCAUGCACCCUCCUGGCAGUGAAACAGGAGAGAGGAGGAGUGAGCUGCCCAGAGUUGGUGAGCCCAGGGCUGCUAUUUUGACUCUUCCUCCCCUGAAUGAAUCACUCCCAGGCAGCCCCAUAGAAAUUUCAGGCCGACAAAGGAUGUGGGGUUGCAUCCAAGUCAGGUACUUGCCUCCGGAUCCAGCCCUGUGGGCACAGCACCAGGCCGUGCCAAAAACAGGAUUAAUACUUUGCGUCAGGACGGUGCCUCCCACACAGGAAAUUUAGCAGACACAAAAUAACGUUAAAAGGCCUUAUAUCACAGCAGAACGAAAAAUGCUGGCAACAGGAGGGAGAACGAAAGUGGAUUCAAAGCGAGUGGUUGUUUUUUCCAUAAUCAUGCUGCUUAAUAACAUCAGACAAGAGUUGUCCUAAUUUUCUACAAGACUGGCCUGCGAUCAGCCCAUGGGAAGGAGACACAAAUGCAGCUCUGCGCUGCGUCACCUCCAGCGGAUGCUCUUGGUUUCGUCGCCCUGUGUGCUGUGAUGGGGGAAGUGCUGCCCUGGCCACUUCCCCAGGCAGCGUGGAAACCCCAAAAUCUGUCUGGGAGCCCCACAGGCAGCCCACAGCUUCAACACAGGCACGUUGGUGGGGUCCUGAUGUCCGCGCUGAGGAGCCUCCAUCCAUGAGUGACCGCCCGUACCUUUCUUCAGGUGCCUUCAGGUCUGUUAUCUGAGGUGUGCAUCAGACCAUUUACUGCCACAGGGCACCUCUGAGAAGUUCCUUGGUUGGGUAACGUGUCUGAAAGUUUCUAAGAGCCCACAAAACUAAAAAAAAAAGGUGAGUUCCGAGACCAAAUACCUGGUAAAUGUGUCCCAGAAACACCGCAAGUUUUUCAGCAGCUGGCCCCAUUGGCCCUGUGGAAGCUGUGCCCUGUGUGCCAGGCACAAUGCUGUAAGGUACACACAGGCGUUCUGGCCUUGAGGUGGAAAAUAUCACAAGAAUAGUUCUGGUAAUGAUCCAGACACAAUUUCUAAUAGGAUUAGGAAUAAGCACGAGGCCUGGGAGUGGGGUAACUCUUCCUGUGCCGCAGGGCUUCUCCCCCUGCAAGCACCUGGGUCACUGGCUCAUUGCGGUGCAGAAUUUGAGCUCUGUUUUCUUGCUUUGGGCUUUUGAAUUAAUUCCAUGUACUUGAGUAUAGAAAUAACUUAUUUUAGGCUCAGGUCCUGGCAGCCACCCAGGCUGGGGCACUGCUUCCCAAACCAUCCUCAGAGGCUCUGUCAUUGCACGUGGUGUACAGAUAUUCAUGUUCCUGCAAAAGGGCAACCCUCGGACUGUCGCGGCUCUACAUUCAGACUUGGAGAUCGUUUUAAUUAAUGCUCCAGCCACCCUUCUGCCUAGAAAGGUCAAUUAGAAGAGGAGUGAAUGCCUUCAUGGGCUGCUGGAGGGGAUUUGCGGCUCUGCCUCUGUUGUUGCCUCAGCUAACCCUUGUUAACUUUAUGUUAGGUUUAAAAAGAGUGAGCUGGGGUCGAGGUGUGACUGCUAGUACUGACAUUACAUGAGAUUGCUACUGAUGAGACGGAUAUGUCUCCAGAGCAAAAGAUUUACCCGUUUCUGUCCCUUCUACAUAAGUGAACAGCUUGACAAGAGUAUCAUAACCCAAAUUAAUCACUCAAAAUCUAAACAUCAUUCAAUUUCUGUGUUGCUGUACUCUUAAAAAAACAAUUCACCAGUCCUCUGCCUUUGUAAAGCCAGCUAUAAGAAAAAAGAAAAGAAAAACAACACAAAACCCCCAAACCACCCUCUCAUGCCAUGAAAAUACUUCUUCACCUUGUUAGUUUCUUCAGUAGACAAAGCUAUUCUUCCUCGAGACGCAGUCAUGCCUCAGACCAUUCAUUUUGUUUCACAAAGGCUGUUUUUCAGUCCUCAAGAACAACGAUAUUUCCUAUGAGUCAAGCAAAUUCCUCCCUUCAGAUGUGAAUACCUCAUCAAUCUCUUGGCUGGAAGGAAGUAUUCCCCCGUGUCCCUUCCUGUCUGCAUCCUGGAAAAUCGCAUCAAACCUACCAUUUCCCACUGGUUUAUUUUCAGAAGGAGAAGUUACUGACUCAAGGUUGGAGUCUUGUUUGUGACGUUGCAAUUUUUACAUGGUCCCAGUGAUUCAGGGUAUUUCAAUUGACUGCGUGGAAGAGCGCAGAGCAGUCUUGGCGUGGUUUGGUGUUGAGUAGGUCCCUCAGGGCCGGAAGCCAGGCUGAGCAUUUUCCUGCAGAGCGAGUCAGUUUUAGCUCUUACAUUUGUACCAUCGAAGCUCAUCACUGCAAAAAUUUUCCAGGAUGGCAGAGAAGGUUUUUCUGGAGAGCGACAAGCACCUGGCUGCAUGUUUGAUGCAUGGCUGGAAGAAGGAGGAGGAACCGUGCGCAGGUGGGUCCGAGUAGAUGAGAAGCCCAACGACUCUGGAGCAUUUGGGGAUACCCACUGCACAUCACUUUGCUCUGCUCCCCGUUGUUUGGCUGCAGUCUGAGCUGUUUGCAGAGGACAUGAAGAAAAUGUAAGGGUCACCAAGAGGAGAGUUACAGAAGCUACACUUCCUUUCCGAGACCCAUAAUGAAUUUUUAUGGUAUUGUUGGUACCUAUCCAACAUCUAUUACCUAUCAGUUUAUGUUUUGCAACUAGAAAA